UGAUUCUAGCUUGUGUCAAGUUGACUGAACAAAACCAACCAAACAAAACUAAUCAGGACAAGGGCCAAAUAGUAUCCGGUGCUUGGAGAAGGGGAGCCUGCCCUCAGCUACCCGGUUAGGUUUCUUUCUUCUUACGGCUUUCACGUUUAGAUGAGAGUUUCCUGGUUGAAUGGACCUUGUCUCUGUGUCUCCUCUGAGGGAGUCUUUGGACUAACAACCCUCUGAAGCCCUAUAUGGAAGCUUUAAACCCUCAAUACUUGGAGUAGAGCCUCUGGGGAAUAGUUGGGGUUGAAUAAGGUUGUAGGGGUAUAGAGCCUUACAGGCCUGAGGUUUACAGAAGAGAAGGAAGAGACCGGAGAGGCCUCCCACCAAGCCGCACAGAGGAAAACCAUGCAAAGGCUCUCUGGGGGUAAUCAGACAUCUGCAAGCUGAGGAAAAGUCAGCCCUCAACAGGAGCUGAAUGGGCCAGCACCUUUGAGAAAGAGUAAACAGGCCAUCUCUCCCUAGGGUGCUGGGCUAGUGAAACUCAGAAAAGAGGCCUGUGGGGUCUCCUCUGAAAGGAGACAAGUUGACUCAGCCUCAGCCCCCAUCCGCAUCUGAGAAAGCAAGAAGGUUGUCCAGGUGCUGGCUGUCCACUGCUGUCAUCACACGCCCCAGGGGCCCUCCCUCCUAGUGCACUGUAGAAUUGAGCCCCUUAUCUCUAGUCUUUGGUAAUCCCUCAUUUGCUUGCAGAUCUGAAUCUCCUGCCCUACCUUCUAUAGUCCCCAGAGCUGCAAACCCUCACCACAGCGUGUGGAAUAUGUUGGCACACAAGUGCCUUAGGGCUUAGGGGUACCGUGAGCAUACCCAAGUCAUAGGUAUCUGUCUGCACCUCAUGGAUACCCUCAGGCCAUUCCCUGUGGGCUCUGCAGGAUGGAAGGGGACUGGGUAAGAAGAAAGGGGGGCUCUGUUUGGGAUUCCCUUUCCAGAGCGAUGGGGUUGCAAGUUUUCUGAUCUUCACUGUGGUGAAAUAAACACUGGCAGAAGCUUA